CCGUCGCUACUUUAGUGGUAACUGACCGUGGUGCACAGUGUCUUGCUUAGCUUUUCUGAAUCAAAUUUUUGUCUAUUUCUCCUGUUGGAUAUUUUAAGGAUUCCAGACCUGAGACCAGGUUCUGAGCCAGACCCAGGGUUUGAUCCUCAUCCCCUAUUUUGAGUCUCCCUGCCUCCUCAGCUGCAGGCCCAGGCCCGGAAGUUUUUUUUUCCUGAGAUCAAUUCCCUGUUGUACCUGACUGUCCACCCUCCCAUGUGGGAAUGCUCAAGUUGGGACGCCGCUAGAGAGCUCAGGGUUAAGAAAAGAAACUACUAAUUACCUCACACGUCUUGCCAACUUCCCACACAGAGGAAGGACUAUCCUCCCCAGCGGAACCAUCAUCACACUGGCUAGAAGAACCAGUCCCCUUGCUGUUGCUGCCUGGAUUCCUCUCUUGCCUUCGUUCACUUUCAUUCACAAAUAAAUUUGUUAAAAGGCUAACCUAAAAUUGUGGUUGUGUUCUCCUCAGAGCUAAAAGAAAAAUGCUCCACUAUGACACCUUAGUGAUAGAACAUUCUCAUUGCCAGCUUUUAGAUUUAAUGUGAGUUACUGUCUCACAUGGGGCAAGUUGAUUUGGAUAUGUUUUCCCUAAUAAAGGAAAUCAUUAUUUUAAACUUCA